AGCGAACGCUGGCGGCGUGCUUAACACAUGCAAGUCGAACGUGAAAGGGGGCAACCCCGAGUAAAGUGGCGUACGGGUGAGUAACGCGUAGGUAAUCUACCCUGGAGUCUGGAAUAACCUGCCGAAAGGCGGGCUAAUACUGGAUAGAGCGACGGAACUCGUAAGGAGUUUUUCGGGAAAGGGAGCCCGCAAGGGCCCACGCUCUAGGAUGACCCUGCGUCCCAUUUGCUAGUUGGUGAGGUAACGGCUCAACAAGGCGGUGAUGGGUAGCUGGUCUGAGAGGAUGAUCAGCCACACUGGAACUGAAACACGGUCCAGACUCCUACGGGAGGCAGCAGUGGGGAAUCUUGCGCAAUGGACGGAAGUCUGACGCAGCCACGCCGCGUGAGUGAAGAAGGCCUUCGGGUUGUAAAGCUCUGUCGCCCGGGACGAACAGCUUGUGGGUGAAUAGCCCAUGAGUCUGACGGUACUGGGAAAGGAAGCACCGGCUAACUCCGUGCCAGCAGCCGCCGUAA
rnacentral:rRNA from 1 species